rnacentral:rRNA from 1 species
GACGAACGCUGGCGGCGUGCUUAACACAUGCAAGUCGAACGGUAAGGCCCUUCGGGGUACACGAGUGGCGAACGGGUGAGUAACGCGUGAGUAACCUGCCCUUGACUCUGGGAUAACAGAUGGAAACGUCUGCUAAUACCGGAUACUCAGCCUUGUGGGCAUCCGCAGGGUUGGAAAGCUCCGGCGGUCAAGGAUGGACUCGCGUCCUAUCAGCUAGUUGGUGGGGUAACGGCCUACCAAGGCGACGACGGGUAGCCCGCCUGAGAGGGCGACCGGCCACAUUGUGACUGAGAUACGGCACAGACUCCUACGGGAGGCAGCAGUGGGGAAUAUUGCACAAUGGGCGAAAGGCUUAUGCAGCAACGCCGCGUGCGGGAUGACGGCCUUCGGGUUGUAAACCGCUUUCAGCAGGGACGAAGCGCAAGUGACGGUACCUGCAGAAGAAGCACCGGCUAACUACGUGCCAGCCGCCGCCGUAAGAC